CCUACGGGUGGCAGCAGUAGGGAAUAUUGCUCAAUGGGGGAAACCCUGAAGCAGCAACGCCGCGUGGAGGAUGAAGGUUUUCGGAUUGUAAACUCCUUUUGUUAGAGAAGAUAAUGACGGUAUCUAACGAAUAAGCAUCCGCUAACCCCGUGCCAGCAGCCGCGGUUAUACGGGGGAUGCAAGCGUUAUCCGGAUUUAUUGGGUUUAAAGGGUGCGUAGGCUGUGGGGUCAGUCAGCGGUGAAAUGCCCCCGCUCAACGGGGUGAAGUGCCAUUGAUACUGCCUUGCUGGAAUGCAGAUGCGGUGGGAGGAAUGUGUGGUGUAGCGGUGAAAUGCAUAGAUAUCACACGGAACACCAGUUGCGAAGGCAUCUCACGAAUCCGCGAUUGACGCUGAGGCACGAAAGCGUGGGUAUCAAACAGGAUUAGAUACCCCGGUAGUC
rnacentral:rRNA from 1 species